GUGUGAGUUGGUGAUUGGAUGGCGCGGGUUGGCAGGCUCCUUGCUUAGUGCAUUGAACUGUUGGCUCCCCGUCCGCCUCAAUUUUUCCCCCGAGCGAUUUUCUUGGCUCGCGGGUUCGUUUGGUAUCCUGUGUUGUCUACCCGCGCGUGGGAAUUGAUGGUUUUCGGUGCUCUCAUCCGCCUCGUGCCUGUUCGGGGUGCGGGGUGGACGCGAGGCGGGCUUCGCGUUCCUGGCGUGCCGCGUUGCGCGGCCGUUGUGGCGCGCGGAGUCUUCGCUCGUGCUCUCGGAUGCGGAACGUUUGUUGCGUGGGCGUGGGGCCUCGGCCUUGAUCCGCCCGAGCUUUGCGCAUUUGUCCCUUGACGCGAACGACGGCCGCUCCCGCCUCGAUCCCGCUGUGCGGGCCGUGCGGGUGUCGGCGUCGCUGAGGAGUGC
rnacentral:misc_RNA from 1 species